AAGUCGUAACAAGGUUUCCGUAGGUGAACCUGCGGAAGGAUCAUUAAUUGGAGUUAAGGGGGUUCCUCCGGGGGCCCCGACCCCUCAAACCCUUUUUGUUUGGUAAAAAACCCAAAUUGUCGGCUUUUGGGCGUGGGACCGGCCCGCGAGGCUGCCGGUUUAGCCCGGCAUGCGCCCGCCAGAGGAAAACAAAUCUUUUUAUCAAACCGUACGUCUGAGUAAAAAUGAUUAAAUCAAUCAAAA
rnacentral:misc_RNA from 1 species